CUUGGGGGCUCCUUGCUGCCUUUGGGCGGCUCCCCUUAAAUGCAUCGGUUGUGGCCCGUCUGGCUUUCAGUCCUCGGCGUUGUAUUGCCCUCGCCCCGCGUCUUGUCGGCAGCGCCCUUCCCCGACCGCCUCUGGAGCGGCGGUCAAACACUUUUUUGAAAUCUGACCUCAAAUCAGGUAGGACUACCCGCUGAACUUAA
rnacentral:misc_RNA from 1 species